rnacentral:rRNA from 1 species
UACGUAGGGUGCGAGCGUUGUCCGGAAUUACUGGGCGUAAAGAGCUCGUAGGUGGUUUGUCGCGUUGUUCGUGAAAACCGGGGGCUUAACCCUCGGCGUGCGGGCGAUACGGGCAGACUUGAGUACUGCAGGGGAGACUGGAAUUCCUGGUGUAGCGGUGGAAUGCGCAGAUAUCAGGAGGAACACCAGCGGCGAAGGCGGCGCUCUGGGCCGGUACUGACACUGAGGAGCGAAAGCGUGGGUAGCAAACAGG